rnacentral:rRNA from 1 species
AGCCAGACUCCUACGGGAGGCAGCAGUGGGGAAUAUUGCACAAUGGGGGAAACCCUGAUGCAGCAACGCCGCGUGAGUGAAGAAGUAUUUCGGUAUGUAAAGCUCUAUCAGCAGGGAAGAAGAAAGACGGUACCUGACUAAGAAGCCCCGGCUAACUACGUGCCAGCAGCCGCGGUAAUACGUAGGGAGCGAGCGUUGUCCGGAAUUACUGGGUGUAAAGGGAGCGUAGGCGGGACUGCAAGUUGGGUGUCAAAUCUACCGGCUCAACCGGUAGCCGCACUCAAAACUGCAGUUCUUGAGUGAAGUAGAGGCAGGCGGAAUUCCUAGUGUAGCGGUGAAAUGCGUAGAUAUCAGGAGGAACACCGGUGGCGAAGGCGGCCUGCUGGACUGCGACUGACGUUGAGGCCCGAAAGCGUGGGGAGCAAACAGGAUUAGAUACCCGAGUA